rnacentral:rRNA from 1 species
UAUGAAAGGGUAAACGAGGAGGGCGCUGUGUCUAAGAACUUAGUUUAAACUAACUUAAAGGUGAAGAGGCCUUUAUAAGAAAGAAGGACGACAAGACCCUAUGAAGCUUUAUCUUAUUAGGGAAUUGAAAGAUCCUUAUACGAUUUUGAUGGGAGAUCAGUAAAAAUAAGUCUUUUACCAUUAUUUUUAUCUUACAAGUGUUUCCCAAUUUUAUAUGUGUGACUAGCUACUCUAGGGAUAACAGCGCAAUUUCUCCCGAAAGAUGGUAUUGGAGGGGAAGAUUGCGACCUCUAUGUUGCC